AAGUUUACAUCACUUCCUGUGUAGACUGGAAGUUGGUGAACAGUGGUCAAGUUGAAGGCUAAAUAUUUGUAGCUGGAGCUCAUUUGUCAAUCUGGUGUCAUCUGGUCGUUCCUCCCAGCAGAAGCAUUGCUUUUUCACUCCUAAUACUCAACUAUAUGCACAUUGGGUGUGCAAUAAAAAACGGAGCUAGAAUGCUACAUCCUGACUCUUGAGUUGUUUGUAUGGAGUUUGGCUGGCUGUCUAGUUGAAGUUACAACACUUCAGCAAGGACAGUACACACGGGUGAGUCGUGGACCCUUGCUACGUUGCCAUGGUGUUCAGGAGUGCAUCUUGUUGGUGACGCAGCGGAUCUCCAAGUAUCCUGUCCUUGUUCAGCGCAUUCUGGACAACACUGAUGAUGAAGAAGAAGCCUCAUCUCUAGCCCAGGCUCUCUCCAUGGUCAGAGAACUUCUAAGUUCAAUAGACCAACAGAUGGAGGACCUGGAGAAAACACAGCGUCUACAAGAGAUCCAGGCCAAACUGGACCUGCGGGCUGAGGCCAGAGUUAGGGAUGGUGGACUUUUCAAGCCUGGAGAGUUGCUCCGCCGGAGACUUGUCCAUGAAGGGACCCUUUUCUGGAAAACCCCAGGAUCCCGGCU